AGAGCGAACGCUGGCGGCAUGCCUAAUACAUGCAAGUCGAACGAACACUUCGGUGUUAGUGGCGCACGGGUGCGUAACGCGUGGGAAUCUGCCCUUGGGUUCGGAAUAACAGUUGGAAACGACUGCUAAUACCGGAUGAUAUCGAAAGAUCAAAGAUUUAUCGCCCAGGGAUGAGCCCGCGUAGGAUUAGCUAGUUGGUGAGGUAAAGGCUCACCAAGGCGACGAUCCUUAGCUGGUCUGAGAGGAUGAUCAGCCACACUGGGACUGAGACACGGCCCAGACCUCCGUACGGGAGGCAGCGAAGUAGGGAAUAGUUGGACAAGUGGGACGCGAAGCCGUGGAUCCAGCAAUCGCCGCGUGAGUGAGUGAAGGUCCGUUAGGGUUGUAAACGUCGUACGUUUUAACCCGAG
rnacentral:rRNA from 1 species